AGUGAACGCUGGCGGUAUGCCUAACACAUGCAAGUCGAACGGCAGCACAUUAAUAGCUUGCUCGUACGGGUGGCGAGGGGCGGACGGCUGAGGAAUACAGCGGAAUCUACUUUUUCGUGGGGGAUAACGUAGGGAAACUUACGCUAAUACCGCAUACGACCUACGUGUGAAAGCAGUGGAUCUUCGGACCUUGCGCGAUUGAAUGAUCCGAUGUCGGAUUAGCUAUUUGUCGGGGUAAAGGCCCACCAAGGCGACGAUCCGUAGCUGGUCUGAGAGGAUGAUCAACCACACUGGAAAUGAGAAACGGCCAAGCCUCCUACGGGAGGCAGCAGUGGGGAAUAUUGGACAAUGGGGGCAAGCAUGAUCCAGAAAGACCGAGUGGGUGAAGAAGGCCUGCGGGUUGUAAAGCCCUUUUGUUGGGAAAGAAAAGCAGCAGGUUAAUACAACGCUGUAUUGACGGUACCCAAAGAAUAAGCACCGGUUAACUUCGU
rnacentral:rRNA from 1 species